CACUGGCUUCUUAUCACUUGUCACAAAUGAUAACUACUCUAUACUCUCUCAAUAUAUUACCCCUUCGCUCUCUAUCUAUGAUUUUUCAGUGUGAAGAGAUUCUGCUUUCAGCAAAACACACUCAAACUAUGCAGUGGAAGGAUACAGGUUUUCUGGACACCGACUUGGAUGUUAAAAGCCAGCCUCCAAAAAGGUGUAAUGCAGAUCAAGAGCUUUGACAGAAGAGAAAAAAUAAACAACAAAUAAAACAGAGCAAAUGCAAAGGAGAGGUGAAGAAUGUGUUGGACUUUGGUUGUACCUUUUACAGAGAACUCUGCACUACUGAAUUGAUGGCACCAGAAGCUUGCAGACCCUGGAGUCCCUGAAGCUGGAAAGAAUCUGGAUCAGCAGUAUUUUGGGAGAACACUUUUGUAAAAGACAGCAGAAAAAAUAAUAAUAAGGUGAAAAAAUUCAGGAAUAUUCUGCAGACCUGCUUAUUUAUGGCAGUAUUUGGAAAUGCCAAAUUCUUAAUGAAGUUUUGUACAACGUAUCCUUCUCCGGG
rnacentral:lncRNA from 1 species